UGGGGAAUAUUGCGCAAUGGGCGAAAGCCUGACGCAGCGACGCCGCGUGCGGGAUGAAGGCCUUCGGGUUGUAAACCGCUGUCGGGAGGGACGAAGCUCUGACGGUACCUCCAAAGGAAGCACCGGCUAACUCUGUGCCAGCAGCCGCGGUAAUACAGAGGGUGCAAGCGUUGUCCGGAAUCACUGGGCGUAAAGGGCGCGUAGGCGGCCUGGUAAGUCGGGGGUGAAACGCUGCGGCUCAACCGCAGCACUGCCUUCGAGACUGCUGGGCUUGAGCACGGUAGAGGCUGGUGGAAUUCCCGGUGUAGCGGUGGAAUGCGUAGAGAUUGGGAAGAACAUCGGUGGCGAAGGCGGCCAGCUGGGCCGUUGCUGACGCUGAGGCGCGACAGCGUGGGGAGCAAACAGGAUUAGAUACCCUCGUAGUCCCUGAGCGGGCUGGCAAGGCGCAU
rnacentral:rRNA from 1 species